rnacentral:rRNA from 1 species
CAGUAGCCGCGGUAAUACGUAGGUGGCAAGCGUUGUCCGGAAUUAUUGGGCGUAAAGGGCUCGCAGGCAGUUUCUUAAGUCUGAUGUGAAAGCCCCCGGCUCAACCGGGGAGGGUCAUUGGAAACUGGGAAACUUGAGUGCAGAAGAGGAGAGUGGAAUUCCACGUGUAGCGGUGAAAUGCGUAGAGAUGUGGAGGAACACCAGUGGCGAAGGCGACUCUCUGGUCUGUAACUGACGCUGAGGAGCGAAAGCGUGGGGAGCGAACAGGAUUAGAUACCCCCGUAGUCCCUGUCUCUUAUAC